rnacentral:rRNA from 1 species
GGGCCCGCACAAGCAGUGGAGUAUGUGGUUUAAUUCGAAGCAACGCGAAGAACCUUACCAGGGCUUGACAUGCACAGGAAUAUUUUGGGAAACUAGAAUAGCUCUUCGGAGCCUGUGCACAGGUGGUGCAUGGUUGUCGUCAGCUCGUGUCGUGAGAUGUUGGGUUAAGUCCCGCAACGAGCGCAACCCCUAUUGUUAGUUGCUACUAUUAAGUUAAGCACUCUAGCAAGACUGCCGGUGAUAAAUCGGAGGAAGGUGGGGACGACGUCAAAUCAUCAUGCCCUUUAUGUCCUGGGCAACACACGUACUACAAUGGGUGUAACAGAGAGAAGCAAUGUGGCAACACGGAGCAAAAACUCCAAAAGCAUCCUCAGUUCGGAUUGAAGGCUGAAAUUCGCCUUCAUGAAGUCGGAAUUGCUAGUAAUGGCAGGUCAGCAUACUG